rnacentral:rRNA from 1 species
UACGGAGGGUGCGAGCGUUGUCCGGAAUCACUGGGCGUAAAGGGCGCGUAGGCGGCUUUGUAAGUCAGAGGUGAAAGCCUGGAGCUCAACUCCAGAACUGCCUUUGAAACUACAUCGCUAGAAUCAUGGAGAGGUUAGUGGAAUUCCGAGUGUAGAGGUGAAAUUCGUAGAUAUUCGGAAGAACACCAGUGGCGAAGGCGACUUACUGGACGACUGUUGACGCUGAGGUGCGAAAGCGUGGGGAGCAAACAGG